rnacentral:lncRNA from 7 species
AUGCAUACUGAGGAUGAAGGGAUAUACAUUUAUUCAGCAUAACCAUCACCAUCAGUAGAUUAUUCAGCACACCAAGAAAAGCAUUGGCUUAUGGAUUAUUCAGCAUUGCGAUAGAUCGUGCUAGUAGGCUUAGCACCACAUCAAUCUACAAAGAUACUUCCGGCUACCUGGAAAUGCACGAAAAUCAAAUAAACAGGAAACUCUGGAGUUGCAUGGCACCACGAAAAUGUGGAUUGACAUUUGAUACCGAACUGCAAU